GGAGGACCAUUUUUGUUGUAGAAUUAAUAGUUUCUAUUUACACUGGUUUCCAAGGUGAUGUAGUAAUGGUGGAGUAAGUAUGUUUUAGGCACAGACCUGCCAGAUACAAUUAUUAUUAAUUUAUUAUUAUUCUAAUUAAAACAUUAUUAUGUUUGAAAAUGUCUAAACUGUCAAAGUCCCCUUAUCCCCUCAAGCUUGUGUGUUAUGUCUUGUGUCUGUAACACAAGUUACAUGUAGGUUUAUAAGAAUCUUGUACAAAGAACAUUCACAUUAUAAUUACUCCGUCAAGUUCUAUUUUAUCCAGUAGAACUGUAGUCACUUAAUCUUUCAGGAAUGCUCAGGGACUUAAUCUCAAAACUACUCAGUUCAUUUUGGACCACUCCCAUCGAAGUUUCUCCAAGCUAAUCACAGGUGUGACCUACAAAAGGUGCGGAUAAAUCUUUGUAAUCUCGCCUCUUCAUCUCCAAGGGGAGAUUUUGUCUGCUGCCUAGAGGAACUUCAAGCAUCUGGAAAUCUAAUAGGGGAAGCAUCUUUUUUGGGCAGGGUAUCCCACAAAGGGCAUUGCA
rnacentral:lncRNA from 1 species